GAAAUGCGAUAAGUAAUGUGAAUUGCAGAAUUCCGUGAAUCAUCGAAUCUUUGAACGCACAUUGCGCCCUCUGGUAUUCCGGGGGGCAUGCCUGUCCGAGCGUCAUUGCGAACCCCUCAAGCACGGCUUGUGUGAUGGGCCCUCCCGCGUCUUGGUCGUCAAGACGGGCCCGAAAUGCAGUGGCGGCUUCGCGGUUAUCCGAUCAGCAGAGCGUAUGGGGACUCUCUCUCUUGUCACACGCCCGCGGCGCGGACCGACGCCUGUCGACCUUUAUUCAUCUUCUCUCGGUUGACCUCGGAUCAGGUAGGGAUACCCGCUGAACUUAAGC
rnacentral:misc_RNA from 1 species